CAGAACUCUGGAGGAUACUUUGGAGGCUUGCAGACACGGCUGUCGUUAGCGCCGCUCGCACCUCUCGGCACGCCUCGUGGUCUUGGCAACCAAGAAUCAAAUUACAGCCCAUGCAAAUGGACCUCCUGUUCAUCUUGUCCCGUGAAGUCCUACCAGCGUGUUCCUGUGCUCUAGUUUUUAUUUUUCCAAGUAUAACCUUUCUGCCUGUCCUGACCCUGGUCCUGCCUGCCGUCCUGUACCUGCCUGACCCUGAUUUGGAUUACGACUCUUUGCCUGCCUUGACAUACUUUUUGCCUGCUCCUUGUACUAUAAUAAACUCUGAGACUCGUA